rnacentral:rRNA from 1 species
UAAACUACGAUUAGAUACCCUAUUAUUUUAAAUGUUAAGUUAUAAUACUUGAGUAUUAGUAGUUAUGUUCUUGAAACUCAAAGAAUUUGGCGGUGUUUUAGUCCUUUCAGAGGAACCUGUCCCGUAAUCGAUAGUCCACGUUAAACCUUACUUAAUUUUGUAUUCAGCUUGUAUACCUCCGUCCUCAGAAUAUCCUAGUAGGGUUUAUUAAUGUUCUAAAUUUUUUAGGAAGAAAUGAUGUCAGGUCAAGGUGCAGUUUAUAAUUAAGUGGAGAUGGGUUACAAUAAGUUUACUUAUACGGAAGUUGACUUGAAAAUUUAGUUGAUUUAAGGUGGAUUUGAAGGUAAUUUUUUCAAUAAUAAUAAGUUGAUUUUGGCUCUAAAACAUGCACACAUCGCCCGUCGCUCUUA